rnacentral:rRNA from 1 species
GAUGAACGCUGGCGGCGUGCCUAACACAUGCAAGUCGAGCGAAGCACUUACUUUAGAUUUCUUCGGAAUGACGAAGUUUGUGACUGAGCGGCGGACGGGUGAGUAACGCGUGGGCAACCUGCCCUGUACAGGGGGAUAACAGUUAGAAAUGACUGCUAAUACCGCAUAAGCCCACAGCUUCGCAUGAAGCAGUGGGAAAAACUCCGGUGGUACAGGAUGGGCCCGCGUCUGAUUAGCUAGUUGGUAAGGUAACGGCUUACCAAGGCGACGAUCAGUAGCCGACCUGAGAGGGUGACCGGCGACAUUGGGACUGAGACACGGCCCAAACUCCUACGGGAGGCAGCAGUGGGGAAUAUUGCACAAUGGGGGAAACCCUGAUGCAGCGACGCCGCGUGAGCGAUGAAGUAUUUCGGUAUGUAAAGCUCUAUCAGCAGGGAAGAAAGUGACGGUACCUGACUAAGAAGCCCCGGCUAACUACGUG